rnacentral:misc_RNA from 1 species
AAGUCGUAACAAGGUUUCCGUAGGUGAACCUGCGGAAGGAUCAUUACAAAAUACCUACGCCGGCCUCUCGGGGCUGUGUGUUUCUAUUUACCCACCCUUUGCCUAUGUGUACCCUUAUCGCUUCCUCGGCAGGUCCGCCUGCCGCCAGGAACCCCAUAAACCCUUUGCAUUUAUACAAGAAAACUUCUGAUACAAACCUAAAUUAUUACAACUUUUAACAAUGGAUCUCUUGGUUCUG